rnacentral:rRNA from 1 species
CAAUCGAACCCGGAGAUAGCUGGUUCUCCUCGAAAUAGCUUUAGGGCUAGCCUCGCAUUAGUUUACCGGAGGUAGAGCACUGAAUGGUCUAGGGGGCCUCACCGCCUACCGAAACCUAUCAAACUGCGAAUGCCGGAUAAAUGAUGUGCGGGAGUCAGGCCGCGAGAGAUAAGUUCCGCGGUCAAAAGGGGAACACCCCAGAUCGUCUGCUAAGGUCCCCAAGUACGCGUUAAGUGGGAAAGGAUGUUGGAUUGCACAGACAACCAGGAUGUUGGCUUAGAAGCAGCCACACAUUCAAAGAGUGCGUAAUAGCUCACUGGUCGAGUGAUCCAGCGCCGAAAAUGUAACGGGGCUAAAACGCGACACCGAAGCAGCGGGAUGCGUAAGCAUCGGUAGAGGAGCAUUGUGUGAGGGUUGAAGCCAGAGCGAGAGCACUGGUGGACUUCACAGAAGAGAGAAUGCCGGUAUGAGUAGCGAGACCCAUGCGAGAAACAUGGGCGUCGAAGGCCCAAGGUUUCCUGGGGAAGGUUCAUCCACCCAGGGUAAGUCGGGACCUAAGCCGAGGACUGAGGUCGUAGGCGAUGGACAGCAGGUAGAGAUUCCUGCACCACUUACACUUGUUUGACGAAGCAGUGACACAGAAGGAUAGGACGAGCGCGGUGAUGGUCAACCGCGUAGGCGGCACGAGGCCGGGAAGCAGUGAAGUACACUUCCCGCAAAGGCUGAGUGUUGACAGGACCGAAAAGAAGUAGGGAAGCGUCCGAGUUCACGCUGGCGAGAAAAGCUGCUAAGGAGAGUGUGAGUGCCCGUACCGGAAACCGACGCAGGUGGGCGAGGAGAGAAUCCUGAGACGGACGGGAGAACUCUUGUUAAGGAACUCGGCAAAAUGACCCCGUAACUUCGGGAGAAGGGGUGCCUCGAAAGAGGCCGCAGAGAAUAGUCACAAGCGACUGUUUAGCAAAAACACAGGUAUCUGCGAAAGCGAGAGCUGACGUAUAGGUGCUGACGCCUGCCCGGUGCUGGAAGGUUAAGGGGAAGUGUUAGGGGAAACCCGAAGCAGAGAACCGAAGCCCCAGUAAACGGCGGCCGUAACUAUAACGGUCCUAAGGGAGCGAAAUUCCUUGUCGGGUAAGUUCCGACCCGCACGAAUGGUGUAACGACUUGUGAGCUGUCUCAACAGGGGGCCCGGUGAAAUUGAAGUAUGGGUGAAGAUGCCCAUUACCCGCGACUGGACGGAAAGACCCCGUAGAGCUUUACUGCAGCCUGAUAUUGAGUUUCGGUAACUGAUGCACAGGAUAGGUGGGAGUCUGAGAGACACGGGUUUCGGCUCGUGUGGAGACGAUGUUGGGAUACCACUCUUCGGUUACUGAAAUUCUAACAUAGCUCUGUGAAACCAGAGGAUGGACAGUGUCAGGUGGACAGUUUGACUGGGGCGGUCGCCUCCGAAAGAGUAACGGAGGCGCCCAA